GAGUUUGAUUAUGGCUCAGGAUGAACGCUAGCGGCAGGCCUAACACAUGCAAGUCGAGGGGUAGAGUGCUUCGGCACUUGAGACCGGCGUACGGGUGCGUAACGCGUGUACAAUCUACCUUUUGCUAAGAGAUAGCCCGAAGAAAUUUGGAUUAAUACCUUAUAGUAUUAUUUGGUGGCAUCAUUGAAUAAUUAAAGCUACGGUGGCAAAAGAUGAGUACGCGUCCCAUUAGCUAGUUGGAGUGGUAACGGCACACCAAGGCUACGAUGGGUAGGGGUUCUGAGAGAGAUGUCCCCCACACUGGUACUGAGACACGGACCAGACUCCUACGGGAGGCAGCAGUGAGGAAUAUUGGACAAUGGUCGGAAGACUGAUCCAGCCAUGCCGCGUGCAGGAUGACGGCCUUAUGGGUUGUAAACUGCUUUUGUAUGGGAAGAAUAAGGUCUACGUGUAGAUUGAUGACG
rnacentral:rRNA from 1 species